GAGGGUGGCAAGCGUUAUCCGGAUUUAUUGGGCGUAAAGAGUCUGUAGGCGGUUUUUUAAGUCAGCUGUAAAAUCCUCAAGCUCAACUUGAGGGCGGCGGCUGAAACUGAAAAACUAGAGAAAAUGAGAGGUGAGUGGAACUUUCGGUGUAGUAGUAAAAUGCGUUAAUAUCGAAGGGAACGCCAAUUGCGAAGGCAGCUCACUAGCAUUAUUCUGACGCUGAGAGACGAAAGCGUGGGUAGCGAAUGGGAUUAGAUACCCCAGUAGUCCACGCCGUAAACGAUGAAUACUAGGCAUAAGGGGAAUCGACCCCCCUUUUGUGUCGUAGCUAACGCGUUAAGUAUUCCGCCUGGGAAGUACGGCCGCAAGGCUA
rnacentral:rRNA from 1 species